CGUGGGUAACCUGCCCAUAAGAGGGGGAGUAACAUCCGGAAACGGGUGCUAAUACCGCAUAGUUUCUUGAUCGCAUGAUCGGGAAAGGAAAGACGGCCUUUGUGCUGUCGCUUAUGGAUGGACCCGCGGCGUAUUAGUUAGUUGGUGAGGUAACGGCUCACCAAGACGAUGAUACGUAGCCGACCUGAGAGGGUGAUCGGCCACAUUGGGACUGAGACACGGCCCAAACUCCUACGGGAGGCAGCAGUAGGGAAUCUUCCGCAAUGGACGAAAGUCUGGACGGAGCAACGCCGCGUGAGUGAAGAAAAGGGUUUUCGGAUCGUAAAACUCUGUUGUCAGAGAAGAACAAGUUGGAGAGUAACUGCUCCAGCCUUGACGGUAUCUGACCAGAAAGCCACGGCUAACUACGUGCCAGCAGCGGC
rnacentral:rRNA from 1 species